CGCGAAGAGAACCAGGUAUGGAGAAGUGGGAUGAAAGGCGAUGUGAUGGGACAGUAGAUGAGAGAAUGUUUGACCUUGAGGCCAGUCUGUUCUCGGGAGGGGCUGUGUGCUGGCGUAGGCUGAGGCAGGACAGCAUUUAGGAGCUUGGGGGAAGGAGGGCAGCUGAACCAAGGUGUGCUGAACAAGCAUUUUGUUCUGAUCGAUCAGUGUAGAGAAGCAGUAGGGUCUGGCCUUGUUA
rnacentral:lncRNA from 1 species